CUGAACCACAAGGUGGUUCAAUUAAUUGCCCUACUUGCUGAUAAUCCAAACACUUCCAUCUGCUGUCAAAUGGAACAGGAGCUGCAGAUACUUACGACCUCCAUGAACCAAGCUGGCUGCAUCUGAUUUGCCCAGCCUCUGUAGUGAUUCUGCAACAGAACAGGAUGGAAGUCUAGGUAUCGAUGUAAGGAGGGAAACAGAGGAAAGACACUAAGGACUCAUGUGUUUCUUUACACUAGACUCCCUGGCAGUGGCACUGGUUUUUUUAGAUCUUCCUUGCUCAGCACUGCAGUUCCUCAAUGACUGAUGCAGAGAACUGGAAAUGCUGCACGGUGCUGAGAAACGUGGAUGUACUCACCUGCAUGUGAAAUGACCUGGGAGGAGAGGCAGCUCACACAUUGUCAGAGGGACUGCACCUACCUGUUGUCUAAUUCUUUGUAGUCCCACAGUGCAUCAGAGGAUAAUGCAUAUUUCACAUGGGGGUAAAUGAAUAUGUACUGAAAGGCUGCCUAUACUGUCCUGAUCGUUUUUGUGCCUGUCACCAGGCUUGUGGCCAAGCCACAGAGCUACUGAAAUCACAGCACAGAAACACUGCUGGACCCUUGGCAAGUUGGCAACAUCUGUGAAAAUGUUCUAUGGACUCGUGCACUCCAACAAGUUCUUUUCAGUGUUUAUGGAAGCCUUCCUCCAGAGACACCUGCCAGAUCUUGAUCCCUGCUCGAAGCCUCACUGCUGUGGCUAUGCACUGCUGUGGAUUACUGGGAUAAGAAGUGACCUUGGAAAAUGUGACUGCAAGUGGGAAAAGCCAGGAUGUUUUUCUGUAGAAAAAAGUUAACACUUCUUUUGCAUCUUGGUUUGUUACGAGUAACCAUACAUGGUUCAAGGUUCUUAGAAAACUAUUUUCUGUUAUCUUUGACAUACCUUAUAACGUAUUUCAAGCUUUGACACAAUGUGGCUGGUACAAUUUCAUGAAUGCUAUAGCAUGAAAUGGCUGAGCAGCUAAAGAACUGUUCUUUUUAAAUUGAGUUUUUCUAACAUUUUCAGAGCUGCAUGAAUGGAGACAAUCAGCAUAGUUAGGUUUGCUCAGAAGAGCACUUGAGUCUGCCUGCUUGUGACUCUGCCAAGCGGUGGGACUUGGAAUACCAGUACUGAGAUCCGUAGUUCAUUACUUUGUUUUUAGUUGUCUAAUGUUUCUGUAUUUCAGUAACAGCUGGGUUAGACCCACAAGUAUUGAUGACAGAGGGAGAUGUUCUGGCAGAGGAUUAGGCGUCAUGUCUCUCUACCACCUACCUUGAGGAACUAAAAGGAGCCAUUUGCAUGGCAGACCCUGUGUAGGCUGCAGCCAGUGGCAAUGCUUUCUUAAUAUGGUUAAUGCCUCAGGAAACUAGCAAAGGCAAUAGCAAGAUUAAAUGUGGCAUAUCUAUUGGAAGUAUUUGUUAGUAACAUCAUGGUUUACUUGAAAAAAAAGAUCCUACUUGCUUAUUGCAGAUUCUUUAUUGAUUAUAUCUGCUGGUUGUUUUUCCAGUUUGCAUAAAUGCUGCUUUUCUAAGUAUUGGUCUGCAUGUGAGGGCAAUGGGUGGAUUUUUGUGCAUAUUUUCCUGUUCAGUAAAGUUAACACUUAGCCUGUAAAUUCAUUCUGAAAACCUUGUUUUCAACUUGGGAUAGUGGUUGGGUGUUACAUGAAUAGUCAGCGUUUUCCUGUCCGUUUCUACUUGAUGUAUGACCCUAUGUAGAAUGGGACUUUUCUUAAUAUAGCAGUCAUUACUAUGAUAAAAUACUUUGAUUUGGGAAAAAAUAAUAAUUCCUGAGUGAUCUGUGAACUUAAAACACAUUGA
rnacentral:lncRNA from 1 species